CUUUCAAUCCUCUUUUUGAGAUUC
rfam:Thermoproteus tenax Kra 1, complete genome